CUUUCAACAACGGAUCUCUUGGUUCCAGCAUCGAUGAAGAACGCAGCGAAAUGCGAUAAAUAAUGUGAAUUGCAGAAUUUUAGUGAAUCAUCGAGUCUUUGAACGCACAUUGCGCCCCUCGGUAUUCCGGGGGGCAUGCCUGUCCGAGCGUCAUU
rnacentral:rRNA from 2 species